UACGUAGGGGCCUAGCGUUGUCCGGAUUUAUUGGGCGUAAAGAGCUCGUAGGCGGUUCGGCAAGUCGGAUGUGAAAUCUCCACGCUCAACGUGGAGGGGCCAUUCGAAACUGCCGUGACUCGAGUCCGGUAGGGGAGUGUGGAAUUCCCGGUGUAGCGGUGAAAUGCGCAUAUAUCGGGAAGAACACCCGUGGCGAAGGCGGCUCUCUGGGACGGUACUGACGCUGAGACGCGAAAGCGUGGGGAGCGAACAGG
rnacentral:rRNA from 1 species